AGAGUUUGAUCAUGGCUCAGGACGAACGCUGGCGGCGUGCUUAAUACAUGCAAGUCGAACGAGGUCCAACUGGUGGCAACACCGGUGAAGACCUAGUGGCGAACGGGUGAGUAGCACGUGAGCAACCUGCCCCGAAGAUCGGGAUAACACCGGGAAACCGGUGCUAAUACCGGAUGCCCCCACCGGACCGCAUGAUCCGGUGAGGAAAGGAUUUCCGCUUCGGGAGGGGCUCGCGGCCUAUCAGCUUGUUGGUGAGGUAACGGCUCACCAAGGCAACGACGGGUAGCUGGUCUGAGAGGACGAUCAGCCACACUGGGACUGAGACACGGCCCAGACUCCUACGGGAGGCAGCAGUAGGGAAUCUUGCGCAAUGGGCGAAAGCCUGACGCAGCAACGCCGCGUGAGGGACGAAGGCUUUCUGAGUUGUAAACCUCUUUCAGCAGGGACGAUUAUGACGGUACCUGCAGAAGAAGCACCGGCCAACUACGUGCCAGCAGCCGCGGUGAUACGUAGGGUGCGAGCGUUGUCCGGAUUUAUUGGGCGUAAAGAGCUCGUAGGCGGUUCGAUAAGUCGGGUGUGAAAUCUCCAGGCUCAACCUGGAGUCGCCACUCGAUACUGUCGUGACUAGGGUCCGGUAGGGGACCAUGGAAUUCCUGGUGUAGCGGUGAAAUGCGCAGAUAUCAGGAGGAACACCAGUAGCGAAGGCGGUGGUCUGGGCCGGAACUGACGCUGAGGAGCGAAAGCGUGGGGAGCGAACAGGAUUAGAUACCCCCGUAGUCC
rnacentral:rRNA from 1 species